rnacentral:rRNA from 1 species
UACGUAGGUGGCAAGCGUUGUCCGGAUUUACUGGGCGUAAAGAGCGCGCAGGCGGUCGUCCAAGUCGCGUGUGAAAGCCCCCGGCUCAACUGGGGAGGGUCACGCGAUACUGAUCGACUGGAAGGCAGGAGAGGGUAGUGGAAUUCCCGGUGUAGUGGUGAAAUGCGUAGAUAUCGGGAGGAACACCAGUGGCGAAGGCGACUACCUGGCCUGUUCUUGACGCUGAGGCGCGAAAGCUAGGGGAGCAAACAGG